CCUACGGGUGACAGCAGUGAGGAAUAUUGGUCAAUGGACGAGAGUCUGAACCAGCCAAGUAGCGUGAAGGAUGACUGCCCUAUGGGUUGUAAACUUCUUUUAUAAAGGAAUAAAACGAGGCACGUGUGCGUUUUUGUAUGUACUAUAUGAAUAAGGAUCGGCUAACUCCGUGCCAGCAGCCGCGGUAAUACGGAGGAUCCGAGCGUUAUCCGGAUUUAUUGGGUUUAAAGGGAGCGUAGAUGGAUUGUUAAGUCAGUUGUGAAAGUUUGCGGCUCAACCGUAAAAUUGCAGUUGAUACUGGCAGUCUUGAGUACAGUAGAGGUGGGCGGAAUUCGUGGUGUAGCGGUGAAAUGCUUAGAUAUCACGAAGAACCCCGAUUGCGAAGGCAGCUUACUAAACUGUGACUGACAUUGAUGCUCGAAAGUGUGGGUAUCAAACAGGAUUAGAUACCCUAGUAGUC
rnacentral:rRNA from 1 species